UCAUUUGAUAUCAGAGCCUCACUCUAUAUGAGUUGGUGGGCCAUGUACAAAGGAUCCUUGACGUUCUUCGGAAGAGGUCGGGGUGAAUGAGUCAUGACCCCGGUUACUUCAUGAGGACGUUCAAUCUAAAUGGGUCAGGAAUGAUGCGUCCCACAUCGGUUCUGCAGGGAGGUCUUGGGUGUUAUAUAUACGAGUUUGCAAACCUCCCCUUGUGA
rnacentral:misc_RNA from 1 species